CCUUUGUACACACCGCCUGUCACUACUACCGAUUGAAUGGCUUAGUGAGGCCCUCAGAUCGAUGCUCGAAGACUGGCAACAGUUUCCAUUCAUUGAGAAGUUGGUCAAACUUGGUCAUUUAGAGG
rnacentral:rRNA from 1 species